ACACGUAGGGGGCGAGCGUUGUCCGGAAUUACUGGGUGUAAAGGGUGCGUAGGCGGCCUUGCAAGUCAGAUGUGAAAGAUCACGGCUUAACUGUGGUAAGCAUUUGAAACUGUAAGGCUUGAGUGCAGGAGAGGAGAGUGGAAUUCCUAGUGUAGCGGUGAAAUGUGUAGAUAUUAGGAAGAAUAUCAGUGGCGAAGGCGGCUCUCUGGACUGCAACUGACGCUGAGGCACGAAAGCGUGGGGAGCAAACAGGAGUAGAGACCCUGGUAGUCCACGCUGUAAACGAUGAGUGCUAGGUGUCGGAGGUAAUACCUCGGUGCCGCAGUUAACGCAUUAAGCACUCCACCUGGGGAGUACGGCCGCAAGGCUGAA
rnacentral:rRNA from 1 species